UUCUGCCUUCUGGGGAUAACACAGCUAUGCCAUUGCCCACCAAUCCCUUUUAUUUUAUAAUUAUUUUUUCUGCAGAGAAGUUUUAUCUGCUACUCUGUCAACAUGGUGGGCAGAAGCAGUCAAGUCAACACUGCUAAUGUUUACAUGGUGCGAGGGACUGACUGACUGGAGUUCUGAUCACAGUAUUGGGAAAAGAUAUAAAUCUAAAAUGGAACCAGAAGACGUGAAAUGGAGAAUCUCAUGCAUAUGCCCUUAGAAGAAAGGAAGUUAAGAACUCAGAGACUGGUUUCCCAUAAGUACCUGAUUCACAAAAGACCAAGACUUAUCUCUGACCAAGAAACAUCCACCAAGAAUCCCGAUCCUCAAGCCAAUGAACUUACUGCUUAGAUUUCAGGUGAACAUUCCUGUCUGGGCAUUCCUUGUCCGUAAACACAGCCCAGCCCAAACCCUGAACAGACCCGUCACCUGUAAUCUGCUAGCCUCGGUGUUUCCUGAAGAAGUGGGGAGGUACAUGGAUGACACAGUACCAGUCAUGAGUUUAUUGUUGAAUCUGCGUGAUGGAUAUACUGGAGUUAUUUCAGAAACUAUUCUUAAUUUUGUUUCGGUUUGAAAAGAUCUUUUAUAAGAUGCUUAAGAAUGUAAUGUACAUUACCUUAUGAAAAUACAGAU